rnacentral:rRNA from 1 species
GAUGAACGCUGGCGGCGUGCCUAAUACAUGCAAGUCGAGCGAACAGACGAGGAGCUUGCUCCUCUGACGUUAGCGGCGGACGGGUGAGUAACACGUGGAUAACCUACCUAUAAGACUGGGAUAACUUCGGGAAACCGGAGCUAAUACCGGAUAAUAUAUUGAACCGCAUGGUUCAAUAGUGAAAGACGGUUUUGCUGUCACUUAUAGAUGGAUCCGCGCCGCAUUAGCUAGUUGGUAAGGUAACGGCUUACCAAGGCAACGAUGCGUAGCCGACCUGAGAGGGUGAUCGGCCACACUGGAACCGAGACACGGUCCAGACUCCUACGGGAGGCAGCAGUAGGGAAUCUUCCGCAAUGGGCGAAAGCCUGACGGAGCAACGCCGCGUGAGUGAUGAAGGUCUUCGGAUCGUAAAACUCUGUUAUUAGGGAAGAACAAAUGUGUAAGUAACUAUGCACGUCUUGACGGUACCUAAUCAGAAAGCCACGGCUAACUACGUG